CGGACCGGGGUUCCCCCACGCCCGAACCGCCGCGAAUAAAAUAAACCGGGGAUUUGCAACACCCCAAUUCGCUCCCCCGCUUCGGAUCCCCUCUAUGCGUGCGCGAAAUUAGGGUUUUGUGGGGCACACCCAAAUUAUUCCUAAUUAAAAGAUGAAUUGCCGCCAAACUGGGGAGCCAGUUGGAAGAUUAGUGAUGAGAAUGGUGAAGUGGGCGACAAUUUUAGAGUGAGAGGCAAACCGUUUGAGGUUGUUCUAAGUUUGUCUCUCUCUACUAUGAAUAACUGCGCAAGAAAGUAGGCCAAAACCACAAGAGAAUGAUGAAUUAAUAUAAUCAAGUUUGGUCCAAACUAUUUUCAUGAGGCUACCAAUUUAAUUCCUGAACUAUUUUCUUCAUCGACUAAAGUCCCUGAGGGAAGUUUGCUAUACGCUCGCGUAAGUUGAUUCUGAAAAUGGAUUCAUUUGAUGAAAAAGAGGAGUUUAGGGACUACAUUGGUAGCUGUAAAACUGAGUUGUGGGACUAACUUGUAAAAUAAUUUACAGAGUGAUCAAGAAGGCUUUGGUCUGAGCAUUUCUUUCAAGCAUCACUGUCAGUAGAUUUACUUGUCAAACACUUCAAUGUUUUUUAUUUCUUACCAGGGUCAAGAUUAUGUUCUCUGUGCUAAUAGGUUGCAUUGUUACUAUCAACUUCAUGGCCACUAUUUGUUGUGAUUUGGUUAUUACCAGUUUGGUAAAAGGAGAAAAAUAUAAAUCCAUAUAUAUAUAAAAUGUAUGUUGGUGGAAUAAGUAAAUCUUAUAUAAAAUGUUUUUA